rnacentral:tRNA from 1 species
GCGCCUCGUCGCGGAAGCGGCGCGCCGCCUCGCUGUUGUUGCCGGCGAUGCCGCCGUCGCUCAGGUCGACGUGGGCGGA